rnacentral:lncRNA from 1 species
CCCCACAUUCCUCUUAUUCAUUAAGAGGAAGAAUCCAAUUAUUGAUCCAACAAUUACUCCAUCUCCAUCCCAAUUCCAGUUCCUGAAGUACAUAUAAACUUCAUUAGUAACAUACAUCUAAUUCGUGUUAAUUUCACAUAUGUAGUAUUGAAAUAACAAAAUUAUCUUGUCACAUCAAAAUUACAGAAAGUAACCCACUAUAACAGUAAAUCACAUAACUAGUUUUUGUUACUUUUAUAGUAAUUGAACUAUUUGAAUUGCUCAAUAACCGGAAGGUGAACAACUCCAAUAGUAAAGAAUGAUACUUUCAGCAAGCUAACCUCAAUGUUCUUAUGAUUUAAAUGCAUUGAUAUGCAAUUUCUAAACUUCUAAAUCAUUAACGGAGAGACUGGCUGGAGCAAGGGACAAAUGGGGAUGGUACUGAAAAGAGGUUGUCCCUGCUAUUAGUUAUUACAAUAGUAUUUUUGUGCCGCGGUUGAUAUGCUUAAUUUACCUAAAAUUGCUAAAAGUCUUGAAGCAACGGUAAAAUUGUACCCCUAUAGCCUAUAGAUCACGGAUUUAACCAUCACUCUCUUAAGGUAUGGCCCUUCCCCAGACCCUACUAAAUGUAGGAUGCUUCAUCCACCGGACAAGACUUUUUUUGUUCCCUUAGUUCUACCUACCACAUUUUAAGCUGUGGAGUCACUUCUAAGUUAAGCAGUAGUUGAACCAGUCCAGUUGAAAAAAUCAGCAAAAAGACCUCGAAUCCUACUUGAGGAGUCAGAAAAGGGCAGAAAUUUAAAUGGAACAAUCUAUAUAACAAUUGAAUAUUCACCAUACUUUAACCCAAAAUCAGGCAAAUUAGAGCAACCUAAAAGAUGCCAGGAUGAUGGCACGGUAGGCAGUACCUUCGGCAGCUUCACUGUUAUAAUCGGGCAGAAUAAGCAAUACCACAAAAUAAAAUAAAAUAAGAAGAAGACACACAGAUUUAUGAGGAAACUCUUGCGGACAAAAUCACGGGCAAAGGUAGAGGAAAUUCACUAUGAAGGAUGCAAAGUACAAUGAGGAGAAUGACGUAUUAAAAACAUCCAAAAUGACCCAUUAAAUUGCACUUAUAUAAUACGUGCGUACAAAUAAAUCCUAGGCCCAAAAACAUACAAACAUGGGUUGCACCGCGAACUUUUCAGAGCCGGAUCAAUGAAAUAUGGGUCACAAACUGUAACAAUAUCCACCUUGACACGAAUUCUAAUUCAGAACUCAAAUCCGUUUUAAGAAAACUUUCCACCUCUUCUAUAAAAACCCCUAACGGCACAUCUUAACUGCUGACACUAACCAAGUCCAAGAAAUGCUCAAACUUGGCACUUGGUAGUAUCUUGGUCAUCAUAUCAAUAGGGUUAUCAUGAGUACUAAUCGUUCUUCACACAAUAUCACCGCGAGCAAUAAUUUCACGCACUAAAUGAUACUGAACAUUGAUGUGCUUUGUCCUCUCGUGAAACAUCUAAUUUUUUGUAAGGAAGAUAGCACUCUGAAUGUUACAAAAGAUAGUAGUAAUCAGGGAUGACUCUACCUUAGAAAAAAAUAGGCGGUCGCCUUACGCCCCCAAAUUUGAGGGGCCUCAUUUUUUACGAUAAUAUAAUAUAGAUUUUUUUUUUAAAAAUAAAUAUUAUUUAUAGAAAAAUUAUUUUUUUAUAUAAAAAUAAAAGAAUUAUUAGAAGUUCAUAUAUGUAGAGUAUUAUGUCUCAAGAAAGAUUAAAUGCAUUAAUUAUAUUGUUACUUAAAAAAGAAUAAUUAGAAAAAAUCGAUUAUAUAAUUUUGAAAAUACAGUUAUUAAAAAAAAUCAUUUUUUUAAAAGUUUAAGGCCUCUAUUUGAUUUUCGCAUUAGGCAACCAAUAUGCUUGAGCCGCCCCUGGUAUUAAUUUGUAAGUCUUUGCUAAGUUCACCAAACAAACCCUUUAACCAAAUAGCUUCGUUGUAAGCAUCUGUAAUAGCCAUGUAUCCUUCCUCAAUAGUUGACAAAGCAACUGUAGUCUGUAAAGUAGCUUUCCAACUAAUAGCACAACCACCAAUGGUGAAAAUAUAUCCUGUAAGGGACCUCCUUUUAUCAAGGUCUCCUACAAAAUUAGAAUCAACAUACCUGAUCACCUCAUCUCUAUUAUGCUCAAACUGCAAAUAAACAUCAGCAGAUCCAUGCAAGUAUCUAAAAAUCCACUGAACUGUUUUCCAAUGUUCUUUACUAGGAUUUGUAUGUAUCUGCUAACUGCACUGACUGCAUACAAUAAAGCUGGUCGUGAACACCCCAUUUCAUACAUAAGAGACCCAACGACACUAGAGUAUGGAACUUGAGACAUAUAGUCACGCUCAUUAUUUGUCUUUGGAGAUAAUGUGGUCGAGAAUUUGAAAUGAGCUACCAAUAGAGUACUAAUAGGUUUGGCAUUUUGCAUAUUGAAUCUGUGAAGCACUUUCUCAAUGUACCUUUUCUGACUCAAGUAUAACUUACACUUCUCUCUAUCCAUCAGAAUUUCCAUUCCAAGGAUCUUCUUUGUUGCUCCUAAAUCCUUCACCUCAAACUCUUUACUGAGCUUGGAUUUAACUUUUCUUAUCUCUCUCAUAUCCUUCGCUGCAAUCAAUAUAUCAUCAACAUACAAGAGAAGAUACACGAACGAACCGUCACUUACCUUCUUGAAAUAGACACACUAUCAUAACUACUCCUAAAUAUAUGUGAAGUCAUAAAAGAGUCAAACCUCUUAUACCACUGUCUGGUCGACUGUUUUAAGACAUAAAAGGGACUUUUUCAGCAAGCAUACAUCGUCCUACUUUUCUGAGACUACAAAAUCCUCUGGUUAUUGCAUAUAGAUGUCCUUCUCAAGUUCUCCAUGUAUGAAUGCAAUUUUGACAUCUAACUGCUUAAGCUCAAGAUUGUGCAGGCCACGAUAUCAAGAAAGGCUCGAAUCGAACUAUGCUUUACAACUAAAUGUCACCGAGUAAGAAGAAGGUUCUUCACCAGAAUCAAUACCUUCUGCUAUAUUCAAUACAUAAGCAACCAAUUCAGCUUCACCAUACUUCUGAGGAGGUCUAAUAUCUCUCCUAGGUCUAUCUUUAGCAAUAAAAUAUUGUGGUGCCACUGGUAGUGAAGAAUAAAUAGUAUCACUUUGUAUCUCCAGGCUAGACUGAGAAAUAGGCACUGGUAUGGCUCCAAUUUGUAACUCAAUAUGGUUGCUUGACUUUUGUUGAUUCAUGUCACUAGGCUCAUCUGGGGGCGAAGCUCAAAGCAUGAUAGUUUCAUCGAACAUAACAUCCAUGCUAAUUAUAACCUUUCUGUUUUCUGGACACCAAAGCUUAUAUUAUUUAACACCAGACUUAUAACCCAUAAAUAAGCCCUUGACAGAUCUAGGUUCCAACUUUCCAUUAUCAACAUGAGCAUAAGAAGGACCAUCUUCAAAUCAGAGUAACUGGCAGGAGUACUAAACCAUACCUCUUGUGGAGUCUUUUUGUUAAUCGUAACUGAAGGAGAGAGGUUAAUAAUAAGACAAGUUAUGGAAGCAUCUUCAGCCCAAAAAGACUUGGUAAACCAGCAUUAGAGAGAGCACAACGUACCUUCUCUAUUAUAGUCCUAUUCAUUCAUUGGCCACACUAUUCUGCUACGGAAUAUGAUGAAUUGUUAAGUGCCUCAUAAUUCCUUCUGAUUUGCACAGAACAUUAAAUUCAUUAGAAUAGAGCUCUAAACCAUUAUCAGUUCGAAGGCGUUUUCCCUGCUUCCCUGUUUGUUUUUCAAUCAUAGUCUUCCACUCCUUGAAAAUAGGCAAUACAUCAUUCUUUUUCUUCAGGAAGUACACCCAAACUUUUCUUGAAUAGUCAUCAAUAAUAGUCAACAAGUAAUUAGCACAUCCUCUAGAAAGUACUUUAGAAGGACCCCCAGAGAUCAGAAUAAAUGUAAUCAAGUGUGCUUUUAGUAGAGUGGAUGCCUUUAGUGAAUCUGACUCUCUUCUGCUUCCCAAAAAUGCAGUGCUCACAGAACUCCAAUUUGGUAAUACUCUAGCCAUCAAGAAGGUCUCUCAUACUUAGUUCAGCCAUCCUGUUUUCACUUAUAUGUCCCAGACGCAUAUACCAAAGCUUAGCAACAUCACUAUCUGAUAGAGAGAAAGUAAAAACAACAGCAUCACCUGUAAUCGUAAAGCUUUGCAAGAUGUACAAAUUAGAAUUUUUUCUCUGUCUCUUCAUCACAACAAGAUCACCUUUACUAACCUUCAGGACUCCACCUUCACCAGUGUACUUAUAUCCAUUCGAAUCAAGGGUACUCAAGUAAAUAAGAUUUCUCUUCAGGUCUGGGACAUACCGAACAAUAACAAGUGUGCUCACAACCCCAUCAAACAUCUUAAUCCUAAUUAUUCCAAUACCAGCAAUAUUAUAAGGUGUGUUAUUUUUCAUCAACAUAGCACCUUUAGAGACCAUUUCAUAUAUUGUAAACCAAUCCCGAUUGUGACACAUAUGAAAUGUGCAGGCUGAAUCAAGAAUCCAAUUCUUACAGGGUUUGGAGUUACAAUCAGAAACUACCAAGAGUUCUCCAUCACUACUACCAUCUUCAACAAAUUGGCUUCACCGGACUUCUCUGGUUGUUUUCCUUUCUAGUUUUCAGCUUCCCGUUUAUUUGUAUUCUGUAACUUAUAACACUCAGAUUUGAUAUGGCCCUUCUUCUGGCAGUAAUUAUAGGUUUUGUUUCUGUUUCUAGAUUUUGACCUAUUCUUGUCAUCAUCUCCAGAGUUCCUCUCAUGAGUCCUUCCUCGAACAAUGAGACCAUCUCCUUGAGUCACCGACCCAUUCACAAGAUACUUUAUCUUCUCCUUAGAGAAAAACGUAUCAUAGACUUCAACUAGGGUUACGGUAUCACGACUAUAUAAAAUCGUAUCCCUAAAGGUCAAAUAUGAUCCAGGCAACGAACAUAGCAAAAUUAACCCUAGAUUUUCCUCAUUGUACUUAACCUCUUGAGUCUCUAAAUCAGAGAUGAUUUCCUUAAAUAAAGUUAGGUGAUCAUUAAAAGACACACCCCCAGACAUGCGAUGGGUGCUGACACCCAAUUUUGACCUCCCGAUAUCAGUUUUAGGUUGUUAUUUUUAUCAAAUUAUUUAAUUUUAAUUAUCAAUAUUUUUACACAUCAUUUUUUUAUAUUAAAUAUGUACUGACGUAUCGCAUUCAUAAUUCAGAAAAAUGCAUAAAUUAUUUUAUUAUCUUUUAGCAUCAUUUUAUAAUUUUUAAAUACGAUAUUUUAUGUAAUUUUAUUAAAUUAUUUUUUCACGUAAUUGUGCACACUCACAUUUUUUUUUCUCAAAACACACUGUCUAGUUUUUCAUUAUUUAGUACUAUUUAUUUAUAUUAGUAUUUUUAUUUAUUAUUAUUAUCGUUAUUAUAUAUGUUAUUAUUUAUUAUUAUAAUUUAUUAUUUAAUUAUUAUUAUAUAUUAUUAUGUCUACUUUCAUUUAAAUGACGACCUAUUUUUACGUCAAUUUUAGCCUAAUUUAUUAUCAUCCUAGUUACAUGUUUAAUUCCACAUAAGCUUAAAUGUUAGCCUUUGAUCAAGAUUGAUCUAACGACUGAGAUUAAAUCCCAUUUAUCUUCCUUUUAUACAACCAAAACUAAACCUAACCCUAAUUUUUCAUUCCUAUCAGCCUCUACCUCCCUCUCUCAUCCACCUCUCUCUCCUUCUCCCCACAAACCUCUCUCUCUUCUCCCUCUAGAAAAAUCAUCUUCAACGCCGUCGAACAACAGCCAGUGACCAGCCCGCUCUGGCAUCGUCUUUCCGUUCACCAUUAACGCCGCCACGAGCCACCGCCUCCUCAACCACCAGAGAAAUUUUUAUCUCUGAUAAAAUAGCAACGACUAGCGAUAACAGCUCCCUCCCUCGCAUCCCGCCGUCCAUCGUCGCCACUGUCAGUGCCGCGCUACCAGCCCCCUCCUCCUCCACCAGUCCCCUCCGCCUCAAAAAUUAAGGCAACAAAUGAUAGAAAUGCAUCGAUCUUGGGCUAAUGGGUUGCCACCUCCUCCAUUUUCCGCUGAUAAUCUGGAAUAUCUUUGUAGCUUGCCUUCAGUGUCACAUACACAGUUUCCUAUUUUUGUUGACGCACCAUGACAUGCAUCAGGACCUGCUCCGGGGCAACACUAUCCAAAUACUUCCAAUAUUCAUUUUCUCACUCCUCAACACAAAGAUACCACAUGCUCGGCUCUACCCACUGUUCAUGUUUUUGCAGUACCACCCCUACCCGAAACUCCUACUUUUGAGGUUUAUCCAUAAGUUGUGCCUCCCCAUUCUGCGAAAGAGCCUGUAUUGAAUAUUUUUGCUGAUUAACAUCAUGCUAUUGAGCCCACAUUUAAGUCGACUAAUCCUUACGACUAUACUUACCCGCCUGAAUUUCCUCUUAACACUGAGAAACCUGUUAUAACAGAAGAACAAGAGGAAAUAACCAGAAAAUUGAGAAGUUUGGAACUGGCUAUGAAAGACCUCCAGGGACUUGGGGGCUACAAAAGUGUCUCAUAUAAAGAUUUGUGCAUGUUUCCAGGGGUUCAUCUUUCUUUUGGUUUUAAAAUGCCAAAGUUUGAGAUGUAUGAUAGACAUGGCGAUCCUGUAGCAUAUUUAAGAUGUUAUUACAACCAACUAAGAGGUGCUGGGGGAAAGAAAGAAUUACUCAUGGAAUUUUUUGGUGAGAGUCUUUCAGGCCUAGCUUCAGAAUGGUUUGUUGACCAAGACAUUGACAAGUGGAUUAGUUGAAAUGACCUAGCUAAUGAAUUGGUGAAACAAUUCCAAUACAAUGUGGAGUUGAUUCUUGAUGAGAAAUCCCUAACUAACACGAAGAAAAAGAAUACUGAGACUUUCAGAGAGUAUGUGAUUAGGUGGCGUGAACAAACUGCUAGGGUGAAACUGUCAAUGAAAGAAAGUAAGAUAGUAGAGGUAUUUAUUCAAGCGCAGGAUGAAGCAUAUUAUCAACACUUGUUACCUGCAUUAGGCAAGCCAUUUAUUGAGGUCCUCAAAAUAGGGAAGAUGAUAGAGGAUGGAAUUAAGAUCGACCAUAUUGUGAGUUUUGCAAUAUUGAAAGCGACUGCUCAAGCAAUUAAAAAAAGUUUGGGAAGUGUCAGAGGGAAGAAGUAUGAGGAAGAUGCAUCUGCCAUUGUAGUUAGACAACAGGCACAGGCAAGAGGACCACUCCAUCGUUACCCAUAGGCUCAAACACAAGUUUUUGCCCAAGCUCCAUAGAAUCUUUCCCAAAAUCCAUUAUAUUCUAUUCCCCUACCUCCAUAUCAAGUGUAUAAUACGUAACCAUAUGUUCAACAUCUAUCUUACCCACACUGGCGCGCGCCAACUCUGUCGGGUCAUUCUCUAACUCCACAUACAUACCGAACCCCUUCUAGGCCUGGUUUUCAAUUUAAGCCAAAUGAUGAAAUGAGAUAGAAGUUGAGGGAUAGUUUCACACCAAUCGAAGAGUCGUAUGCAAGUUUAUUCCAGAGAUUGUCACAGCAGGGCAUGAUCACUCCUCUUCUUGUGUAUACUCCUAACCUACAUUCAAGAAGUUUUGAUGCUAAUAUAUGACGUGCAUAUCAUUCUAACAUUCAGGGUCACAGUAUUGAAGAUUAUCGUUCUUUGAAAAGAGAAAUAGAAAAGAUGAUUCAAGGUAAAUCAAUUAUGGUGCAGACCAUUUACAGUGAGUAAAGCUCUAGUCAUGAUGAUAUGCAAACCAGUGGCUAAGAUGUCAGGCUGAGCAAUUGAAAAGUCACCCCUCUCCCUACUAGAAAGAGGUCUGGUAGUUUAUUUUGUUUUCUUUUCUGUUUUUCGAAUUAUUUCAAGGUUGUAGUUCGGCAUCUAUCUUGUUUUGUCCCUGUGUCUUUUAUGUUCAAACCUUUCUAUCUUCUAUUUCAACUAAAUGAAGUGUCUCUUUCCCUUUGUGUUUUAAAUAUGUGUUUGUUUUCUUUAUACAUUAUAUUUUAUGUUGAUUCUAGUGUUAUGAAAUGCCUGGGGAAUUUUCAGCCGGAUCUUAAAAUCUAGCUUAACCAUGAAACAUUGAAUCAGAGGGUUAAAGUUAGAAAAAGAGAGCAUCUGAGAAAAUAGGUAGAGUGAUGAGACAUUUGGUGACAAGUUCAAGCCUUCUUUGAAAAUUAAGGCAAUUAUUUUGAGAAUCACAAGAAUAAUUUGGUCAUCAAUUGAAAAACAUUGCUCAAUUAGGUCAAAUAGUGGAUGUGUAAUCCCGAGGGAUAGAAAAAUUAGCUCCACAAAAGCAUGAGUCAUUCGAUGUGAGGAAUGUACAACAACGGCUGAGUUUGCGGAAGAAGUAGUGAUGCAUAGACUCAGUCAAAGUUAAUGCUGCAAAAGAUGAGACAAAUGAUCUUUCAUCUUUCACUUCCAUAUUGCAUGAUAUGUACUUGUAUUUUUAAAUGAUUUAUAUGAUGAAGGCAUUUCAUUCUGCUAUCCAAACAUUGUGUCAUCCUUUGUUUACCCCAUUUGAAAUUUAGUCCUAUUUUCUUUCAUACCCCUCUUUCAAAAUAAAGAUAGAGUCAGGAAAACUCAAAAGAAAAGUGUCGAGCAAAAGAAUAAAGUUAGAAAGUUUCAAAAAAAAAAAGAGAGAAAAAUUGUGUCCAAAAAGAAAAAAGAGUGUCAAUAAAAAUAAAGUCAGGAAAAUCAGAAAGAAAAAAAAAAGUCAAAAGAAAAAAAGAAAUCAGAAUCAAGUAAAACAAGCCGCCAGAACUACGCAUGACCUGAUUCUCCUCUUUCGAGGGUGAGAUCGUAGGCUACCCUACUCUGGGCUUGGUCUAACCAAAUAAAUAGUUUAGAGUCACCUAGCGAAAGAAACUGGGCAUGGGUUAAUCCUCAUUGUUUGAGUCAAUUCUAAAAGUUGUAAGUCCUACCCCACUUCAAGUGUCGUUUGAGCCUCAUGUCAUCCUUUCUUUCUAACCCUAUCCAUAAGCCAAGGUACAACCAAAGAAAGACUUUCAGAUCAAUUUUUGAGAAUGUUAAGGUUAAGCAUGCAAGGGGUAUGAUGACGCAUUUUGGGAACUACUUGUCUUCCUUAGCACAAGGAAUCAGGAGAGAAAUAAAAAUAAGAGAGUCUUAUUGGUGAAAACCCUCACAGGCACCAUAAGGAGAUAGUAAGUCAAGAGAGAUAAAAAUGAGGGAGUCUUAUCGGUGAAAACCUUUACGGGUACUGUAAGACGACUGUGAGUUGGGAGAAAUGUAUAUAAGAGUCUCAUUGGUGAAAAACCCUUACAAAUACCAUAAGACAAUGGUGAACUGAGAAAAAGAGAAUGAGAAAGGCUUGUUGGUAAAAACCCUUCAAGGUGUCACUAGCCGAAUGAGGUCUUAAAGACAAUUGACCUAAAGAAACAACUCAAUUUCAUGGCCAUUAACUCAACAACAAUCGGUAGAAAGUUUGGAUGGAAAGAUUAGGCAGCUUAAUCCAAAAUGCAUAGCAUAAUCAUUAGAGUUGACUGUCAUUUCUAGAUAAUUUUUCAUUUCUUUGUUUCAAAUGGGACAUUUAUUGUUUUUUCUUUCUUCUUUUGUUUUUAUUUUGUUUUCUUGAGUCAGUUGUCCAAAUAAAAGUCAUCGCCAUUUUUCUCUUGUCUUUGAGUCAAGUCCACAUCAAAACAAGUGAGUAAAGAUUUCAAAACUGGCUACAGCCUUUUUCAAUUGCGCAAAGCAAGAUAAAAGGCCAACCCAUGAAAGAGACAUGAUUGUGACCCGAAAUAAGACCUGCAGAAAUUUUUGUCAACUGACAAGUCUGGCAACUCAUGGAAAUACCAAGGCUUAAAGGGUUUAUCUGAGAAGCACUGCAAAGCUGAGAAGCACUGCAAAGCAGAGAUACUUUGUUUGUUUCUGAGUCACUCUUGAUAAUUUGAGUCUGGUCAAUGAUGCAGCAAGUCGAUGACAUAUGAUAAUGGUUAGAAGCAAGGUUAAAUAUGAUGGGGGAAAGAGCGAUUUUCACGAAAGCUGAAGCCACAAACCAACCACCAUGUUUUUAAACUCACAAGUUUUCUUUGUAUGAAAUAGGAACACAUGUUACAUUCAGAUCAAGAAUUUCAAAGAAUAAACGUCAGAGGCUGUAAUAUUCUCAUUUCUACAAAUGCAAGAGGCAAUGUUAUUGCAAAGGUUUGGUAAUCAAAAACCACUGUGAAGUUCAUAAUCCAAUAUCUCGAGGAAAUGGACUUCCUUGUUUGGCCAAUUCAAGCAACAUUUGUAAGGAGACACACUUUCUUGUUUGGUAAUUCAAGUGGUAUUUGUAAGGAGACGUACUUCCUUGUUUUGUAAUUGAAGCGGUAUUUGUAAGGAGAUGCACUUCCUUGUUUGGGCAAUUCAAGCAACAUUUGUAAGGAGACACACUUCCUUGUUUUUACAAUUCAAGCAACAUUUGUAAGGAGACGCACCUCCUUGUUUAGAUAAUUCAAGCAGCAUAGGUAAGGAGACACACUUCCUUAUUUUGGUAAUUUAAGCGACAUUGGUAAGGAGACGCACUUCCUUUUUUUGAUAAUUUAAGAGGCAUUGGUAAAGAGAUACACUUCUUUGUUUUGGUAAUUUAAGUGGCAUUGAUAAGGAGACACACUUCUUUAUUUUGGUAAUUCAAGCAAUAUCUGUAAGGAGACGCACUUUCUUAUUUUGAUAAUUCAAGGAACAUUGGAGCCCACCCAAAGAACAGGGCGAAUAAAUGGAAAGUCAAACAACAAGGUGAAGAAAUUGAAAGUCAAAAAAUUAAAAAAUAGCAAGUCAGGAGCCCACCUGGAGAACAGGGUGAAUAAAUUGACAGUCAGGCAACAAGUUGAAGAAAUUGCUAGUCAGGAGCCCGCCUGAGGAAUAUGGUGAUGAAACUCAAGUCAAGAGUCCAAAAGAAGCCACAUAGAUAGGAUUUUUGUAAUUUUAUUUAUGUUUUAACUCGUAAUUUUCAUUUUUCAUGUAAUGAUAGAGCCCCAGACCGGAACCUCGAUGGAACCUCACUCAACUCUCGAACUCAGUAUAGUCCCUCUUCUUCCAAUCCUUUGAGAUACCUGUGACUUGAUUCCCACAUAACUAGGGAUGAGUAUGAUGUGCAAAGUCAAGACUUGGUUUCCCUCCUUCCUUCUAUUUUAUUCUUUUUAAUAAUGGUCGGGAUAAUACUUCAUGUUUACAUUCAAAGGGGGCAUGCUGUAGACACCUAAUUUUGUCCCUCCCAAGUCCAAUUUUAUUCAUUUUUACCUCACUUUAUUGUACCUUCACCUAUUCUAUACUUUCCCCACAAGAAAACAAAUACAACAAAUCCUAACAAAUUAAAUCACCAAUCCCAAAAUAUUCCUUUAUCCUAACUAAUUUUUACACCUCAUCCAUACCCUACCCCUACCCUACCUUCCCACAUGACCCCACCUAUUUCCAUCUCAUAUUUUUUUCUUUUUUGUCCAUAACAAAUUACACAUACAACAAAAUAGAAAGGGGCCCCAUGGGAAAUGGGGGAUACAGCUCAUAGGGAUCUUUUCCAUUUUUAUAUACUUAAAAAAAAUACCAAAUUGAGGGAGGAGAAUUAGAGGGGGACACAAUUCGCACAUACACAUAGACCCAUGUACUCACCACUCUCAAUUGACCAUGGGCACAGAAGUACACUUAAAAAAUUCCUCACUUUCUCAACACCCACACAGAAUAAUCUCAAUGGCUUCUUCACCAUAGACGCACAACACAUAGGGGAAAAUUUUCUUUUCUUCUUCACCAUCACAAUAACACUCAUUCUCAUGGAGGACCUCGCCCAUCACAUAAAUACUCCAUUUUUCCCUUUUUCUUGGUCCCAAGAGAACUACACACACUAUCACCUAUACACACCACUGUCACCAAAAAAGGACCCUCACCGAAGUGAAAUCCACAUUGUCAUCUAUGCACCCAGCUAUUGAGAACAAAACAUAGCCGGGAACAAGAGUGAAUCGUGUGCGAGAGAGGGAGAUCGGAGAUCAAAAACUGAGAAUAAAACAAAAAAAAUUAAGGGGAAACCUGAUCAACUCAUCAAAUUUCGGGAGCGGGUAGUCUGUUUUCGCCGGAUCGGAAAUGGGUUCGUGCAUGCUUUGUUUUUGCAAUUCCUAUUCUGGGUCAAACUAGUUUUGGUUUUGGAUUUGUAAUUUUGUUCAAAAUUAUGGAUUUGAGUUUGUCUUGCUGGUUUUGAAUUUGGUCCGGAUCAAUUUACGACGUCCAGGCGAACAACAGUAGCGUUACCCAUUUUAAUCCAAAUCAAUUUUGAAAUCAGUCAAUGUGGGUACUGCAUUUGGUUUGGGUCAGUCUGUUCGUCGUGGUCUAUUGCAGGUUGUAAUUAAUCAAAUACCGAGUUGGAUUUUAGUUCGUUGUCGAGAUAUUCAAUUUGGGAUUCUAAGUUCGGGCCUUCUUAAACAUUAUUCUGUCAUACCCUAGGAAAUUUUUUGCUGAAAUUUUGUGCGUAAACGUGUUGGGUUCUAUCUUAUAGAAUGAAUUAUAAAUUUACCAUGAAUGUCUUAGAUUAUGACCCACCAUUGCGUAGAGUAUCGAAUAAUCUUUCCAAUGAUAUGUGUAUCAUCCAAAACGGACACCCGGGUGACAAGUUAUGAACAUUUUGAUCGAACCAUGAAUAGUAGUGAACAGUAAAAUAUGCAGGAAAAAGUACUGAGGCCUGGCGUAUUUUUGCUCCAACUUUAAAUGAUUAUAACUCCUUGUACAUAAUGAUCUGGGUGAUCUACUAUAUAUCAACGGAAAGAUCUAUGAGUCCUCUUUCUAAUGAAAUUGGUUCAAUUUGUCUAUCGUACCAAAAAGUUAUGGUCGAUCUACUUCAGCCUAUCAAAAGUGAAUUUUUGGGUCAACUUCAAAUGAUCAUAACUCCUUGUAUACAAUGAUUUGGGUGAGAUACUACAUAUCAACGGAAAUAUAUGAGAGUCAUCUUUCUAAUGAAAUUGGUUUCAUCCAAUUUGGAUAUCGGAGUAAAACGUUAUGGUUGAUCUACUUCAGACUAUCAAAAUAGUCCACCAAAGGACAGAUUCGAGAAUUAUUUGAUAAAAAAAUUUUAUUUUUAGGGGCGUUUUGGUCAUUCCCCUUCACCCAAAAUCCGUCCAAACCCUAUAUUAAAGCCUAUUAUAAGCAUUAUAUGUUAUAUUUCAUCAAAUUCCCUCAAAAAGAAAACCCUAAGCUCCUACAUCCAACUUCAAGAACCUCCAAAGUUCACCAUUAAUUCUGCAAAUUUAUUCAAGAUUCCAAGUUCCUAGUUCAAGAACUCCAAGAACCAUCAUUCAAAGGCACGAUUAACAUCUCAAAAAUGAGUAUCGAUCUAAAGUUCAUCAUUCAAGGUAUGUGGGGUUUUUCAACAAGAACUCUCUUUCGUUCUUGUGCCCAAAAGUAAUUUUCUUUACAAAGGCAUGAUUUUUAUUUGAUUUUUAUGAAUUUGAAGCAUGAACCCAUAUCUUAUGAUGAUUAUUAUGAAAUCUUGAUGUUUAUGAUUUUGAAAGAUGAAUUUACAUGUGUGGAGAUAUAAAGCAUGAAUCUUGAAUGAUAUUUAUCAUGAUUUUGAUAUUUGGGUCGUGAAUCCCCAUUGGAAAUUGUGUUUUUUUGAGAAAGUGUGUAUUAUAAGCACGUUGAUGUUGAAUAUUUGAGAUAUUUUGAAAAUUAUUUGCUUUUGGUCUUAAUGGAGUUGUUUUGAACUCGAGUGUGAAAGAAAUCCACAAUGUGGUUGAUUUUGAUAGAUGGGAAGCAUGAUGGCUCCCGAUGUAUAUUUAUAUGUUACUUAAAUUGUUUUGUUGUGGAUUGACUUUUAAAUGAUCUGAGAUAAGUCCGGGAGAAAUCUUUAGCACCAAGUGGGAGGUAUAAAGCAACCUUACUUCCUCAGAACUACGUGCUCCCAUAGAAGUAAGCCUGAGGCUGAUUUAUAUAGUGAUCACUAGUUUGUGUUGAUUUGAUAUCGAUAGUUCUACUCUGAUGGAAAGGAUAGGAUGGCUGUUCCCAACGGGAGUUGUACGUUGGACUCCAUGUACCUCACAUGGUUUAUGUCAGUUAUAGGAUCUCUCAGUGUGUGUGUUUCCUUACGUCUAUGGUGAAUGGUGAAGUGAUUUGAAAGUGGAAUUGUGAAAGUUAUUCUUUAAAAAAAAAAUGAUGACUCACAUGUGUUAUUGUACUUAUUUCAUCCUCUUAUGAUUAUGAUGAUUUUCUUCGGGCUAUGUGAGUCUUUCAUACAUCCUGCAUAUUUCUUAUAAAUAUUUAUGAUGAUGAUAUUUAUACAACUGCAUACACCCCUAAAUACUUGGUUCCUUUCCAUGGUACUGACCCACAUUUUCGAAUAUGGGCUGCAUUUUCUCAGAAUGUAGGUUCAGGUGCUCAGUUCUAGGUUCAACAGUGAUUCUUCAGGCACGCUGUUCUACAUCCUCUGUUGUGGUAAGUCCUCAUGUUCCGAGGAUGUGAUGUCUGAUGUUGGUUUCAUGGAAUUAUUUACAUUUGAUAACUGAGUAUGAGUCAGUUGGGGCAUGUCUCAAUGGCUCGUUGGUUUUAUUGAUUUUCUUAGAGGCUUGCAGACUAGUAUAGAUGUUGGGAGUUGACUAAUAAGUCGUAUUUUGUUAUCUUUUUGAAAUUCUUUUAUUCUUGGAUGAUGAUUAUUCUGUUGAUAUUUGAGGGUUAUUUAUGGAAACCCCAUUGAUUUGUGUUGAACUGAAUAAAACUGGCUCAAAGGGUUAGCUUGGGGCUACUCGUAGCCCCAAGCACCGUGUGACGCUCCGAGACCCGUUUUCCGGGGUGUUACAAACUUGAUAUCAGAGCCUAAGGUUUUAUGGUGUCCUAGUGAGUCUGAAAAGUCGUGUUAAGAAGAGUCUUGAUCGUUAGUGUGUAGCGUGCCACAUCUAUGAGCAAGAGGCUACAAGAUGUUUUAGGAAAAAGUGUGAUUCUUUCUUUCAGAAGUCUAUGGUGCUCAAAGUGUCUCUCUCUACUAUUGAUUCGUGCUAUCUUCUUUCAGAAAUAUGCCUCCACAUCGAGCGAGAAGAAAUAAUGAUGGUUAGCAACCUUAACCCGCCGACCCAUUGAAUGAAAAUGAGUCUCAUGUUGAAUUUUAGGCAGUUUUUCAGGCGCUGGCCCAAGCUGUUACUGCAAAUAUUUAGGCCAACCCGAUCUCCGCUCCAUAGCAGCAGGGAGGUGAUUCAGCUAAUGCCAGUUUCCGUGACUUCAUGCGGAUGAAUCCGUCAGAAUUCUAUAGGUCCAAGUCUAAUGAGGUUCCACGAUUGUUUUUAGAGGAGGUGCGGAAGAUUACUCAGGUGAUGCAUGUAUCUGAGGAAUAUAGUGUGGAGUUGGCUGCGUAUAGGUUGAAAGAUCUUGCUUAUGACUGGGUUGUUGCUUGGAGGAAAGGUAGAGGUGAGGGAACUAUCCCUACAACUUGGCAAGAGUUCUAGGAUGCAUUCUUGGAUAAGUUUUUCCCUUUGGAGAUAAGGGAGGUGAAGGUGGAAGAGUUUAUGAACUUGCAAAAGGGCUCUAUGACUUUUAGAGAGUACUGUCUAAAGUUCAAUUAGUUGGCCAAGUAUGCUCCUGACUUAGUGGCUGAUAAUUGGGCUAGUAUGAGUAAUUUUGUGACUGGAGUGUCUAGUUUUGUGGUUAAGGAGUGUAGGUCUGAUAUGCUGAAUAGUGAGAUCAAUCUUUCUAGGCUGAUGACUCAUGCCCAACAGAUUGAGGUAGACAAGAUUACGGAGAGAGAUAGAAUGAGAGAGAAUAAGAGAUCUAGGUCCGAGCAGCACGAACAGGGUCAGACUAGAUCACAGGGAGAGAGUCACCCUUAGUAUCAGGAUCAUUUAUCUAUGCCAGCACCAUCAUCUGCUAGUGCUCCCGUGCCUAGAGGUAGAAAGGAGUAAGGUAGCAGGUCAUAUGCAUCCAAGUCCCAGUACAAUGCUGGCAGUAAGCCAAAUCGUCCCCUAUGUCCUAAGUAUGGUAGGGCUCAUUCAGGUGAGUGUUGGGGUGAGAAGAGGGGUUAUUUCCGGUAUGGUGACAUGGGUCACAGAGUUAGAGAUUGUCCACAGGAUGGACAAGGGCAUGUGACUAUCUCCCUCAGACCCAGACUCAGACUGUUAGUGCUCCCAUUCCAGCGACUCGCCUAGCCCCAGCUUAGGGCGCUUCUUCUAGGAAUGCUGGCGGGCAGUGCCAGAAUAGAUUCUAUGCUUUACCAUCCCUCUAGGAAUAGGAGGAAUCUCCCAAUAUUGUUACUGGUAUGGUUCAUAUAUUUUAAUUUGAUGUGUAUGCUUUGUUGGAUCCUGGAUCUAGUUUCUCAUCUGUUAUACCUUUGAUUGCUGUGAAUUUUGAAAUGAGUCCUGAGAUUAUUCUGGAGCCUAUACUAGUUUCUACCCCAGUGGUUGAUUCAAUUGUUGCCCAGAAAGUGUAUAAAAAGUGUCGUGUUACCAUUCUUCAUAGAGUCUUGUUGGCUGAUUUGAUUGAGUUAGACAUGGUAAAUUUUGAUGUGAUUCUGGGUAUGGACUGGCUGUAUUCUUCUUAUGGCUCUAUUGAUUGUCAGACCCGAGUGGUCAGGUUUCAGUUUUUGGGUGCAUUCGUGUUUGAGUGGUCUGGGAAUUCUGCAUCACCCAAGAGUCAUUUUAUCUCUUACCUCAAAGCUAGAAAGCUUAUUUCUAAGGGGUGUAUUUACCAUUUAGUUAGAGUCAAAGACACUAAGUCUGAGACACCAAAUCUCCAGUCUGUUAACGUCGUCAAUGAGUUUUCUGAUGUCUUUUCGGAUGAUCUCCCCAGGAUACCUCCUGAUAGAAAGAUAAAGUUCGAGAUUUAUCUUUUUCCCGAUACUCAGCCCAUUUCUAUUCCUUCUUACUGUUUGGCCCCUGCAGAACUUAAGGAGUUGAAAGAGCAACUCAAAGAUCUACUAGAUAAGGGUUUCAUAAGGCCUAGUGUUUCUCAUUGGGGUGCUCCUGUGUUGUUUGUGAGAAAGAAAGAUGGCUCUUUGCGUAUGUGCAUUGAUUACCGCCAACUGAAUAAAGUCACCGUAAAAAAUAAGUACCCCAUUUCGAGAAUAGAUGAUUUAUUUGACCAAUUGUAAGGUGCAAGUUAUUUCUCAAAGUUAGACCUUCGUUUCGGCUAUCAUCAACUCAAAGUUAGAUGGUGUGACAUCCCGAAAACCACUUUUCAAACUCGUUAUGUCCAUUUUAAGUUUCUUGUUAUGUCUUUUGGGUUAACUAAUUCCCCAGCAGCUUUCAUGGACCUCAUGAAUCGAGUGUUCAGACCAUAUCUGAAUAUGUUUGUCAUAGUGUUCAUCGAUAGUAUACUGGUGUACUCCCGUAGUGAGGAUAAACAUUCUGAUCAUCUCCGAACUGUCUUGCAAACCCUUAGAGAUCACAAGUUGUUUGCCAAGUUUAGUAAGUGUGAGUUUUGGCCAAGGUCAGUUGAUUUUUUGGGUCAUAUCAUUUCUUCCGAGGGUAUUAAAGUUGAUCCCUAAAAGACUGAAGCUAUUAGAAAUUAGCCUAGACCUAUUUCUCCGACUGAUAUCUGAAGUUUCUUGUGUUUAACUAGCUAUUACCACCGUUUUACUGAGGGUUUCUCCUCUAUAGCGUCUCCUAUGACUCGGUUGACCCAAAAAAAAGUGAAGUUCUUGUGGUCCGAAUCUUGUGAGAAGAGUUUUUAGGAGUUGAAGACUCGACUCACUUCAGCCCCUAUUUUGACUUUGCUUGAUGNNNNNNNNNNNNNNNNNNNNNNNNNNNNNNNNNNNNNNNNNNNNNNNNNNNNNNNNNNNNNNNNNNNNNNNNNNNNNNNNNNNNNNNNNNNNNNNNNNNNNNNNNNNNNNNNNNNNNNNNNNNNNNNNNNNNNNNNNNNNNNNNNNNNNNNNNNNNNNNNNNNNNNNNNNNNNNNNNNNNNNNNNNNNNNNNNNNNNNNNNNNNNNNNNNNNNNNNNNNNNNNNNNNNNNNNNNNNNNNNNNNNNNNNNNNNNNNNNNNNNNNNNNNNNNNNNNNNNNNNNNNNNNNNNNNNNNNNNNNNNNNNNNNNNNNNNNNNNNNNNNNNNNNNNNNNNNNNNNNNNNNNNNNNNNNNNNNNNNNNNNNNNNNNNNNNNNNNNNNNNNNNNNNNNNNNNNNNNNNNNNNNNNNNNNNNNNNNNNNNNNNNNNNNNNNNNNNNNNNNNNNNNNNNNNNNNNNNNNNNNNNNNNNNNNNNNNNNNNNNNNNNNNNNNNNNNNNNNNNNNNNNNNNNNNNNNNNNNNNNNNNNNNNNNNNNNNNNNNNNNNNNNNNNNNNNNNNNNNNNNNNNNNNNNNNNNNNNNNNNNNNNNNNNNNNNNNNNNNNNNNNNNNNNNNNNNNNNNNNNNNNNNNNNNNNNNNNNNNNNNNNNNNNNNNNNNNNNNNNNNNNNNNNNNNNNNNNNNNNNNNNNNNNNNNNNNUGUACCAUCCGGGCAAGGCCAAUGUUAUGGCGGAUGCCCUAAGUAGUGUGUCCAUAGGUAGUAUUUCACAUGUGGUAGAAGGUAAGAAAGAGUUCGCUCAUGAUGGACAUUGUUUGGCUAGAUUGGGGGUUAGGUUGUUUGACUCUGCUGAAAGUUGUAUAGGGGUUCAGAGUAGUUCCGAAUCCUCCUUAGUUUCAGAAGUUAAGGAAAUGCAAUACUUAGAUGCUAGUUUGGUCAGACUGAAAGAGUCAGUCAAGGACCAAAAAGUAGAGGUUUUCUCCCAAGGGGGGAUGGUGUGUUGAUAUUGCAGGGUAGAUUGUGUGUCUCGAAUGUUGAUUAUAUAAGACAGAGAAUUAUGGCUGAUGCGCACGGGGCGCGAUAUUCUAUUUAUCCUAAUUCCACCAAGAUGUACUGAGACUUGCAGGAUCUAUUGGUGGAGUGGCAUGUAGAAAUAUAUAGCGGCGUUUGUAGCUAAGUAUGCAACAUGCCAACAGGUUAAGGUUGAACACCAAAGACCUGGUGGUAUGAUGCAAGAGUUUAGUAUUCCCACCUGGAAGUGGGAAGAGAUAAAUAUGGACUUCGUGAUUGGUUUACCUUCUUCCCGACGCCAUCAUGAUUCCAUUUGGGUUNNNNNNNNNNNNNNNNNNNNNNNNNNNNNNNNNNNNNNNNNNNNNNNNNNNNNNNNUGAGAGCUAGUCAGACUGCAUGGAGUUCCCUUGUCUAUUAUUUCGGAUAGGGGUACUCAGUUCACUUCGCAAUUUUGGAAAGCUUUUCAGAAGGGUCUUAGUACCCAAGUGCUUUUGAGUUCUGCUUUUCAUCCGCAGACCGAUGGUCUCUCUAUGGCAUGACGAGAUUCACUAUGAUGAGUGGUGGACGUAUUCCAACUGCUGAAGAGCUCCAACAGCUGGACCACGACUACCCAAUGAACAGACAUGCCCGGGAGAUGUGUGGAGUGGGAGUAUAUUUCGAGGAACCUCUUGAUGAUGACGUGCCAACUGAUGAUGAUAGACGCUUGCCUGAUUCUGAUGCUGAGGAGAACUCUGACGAUGACUCUUACGAUGACUCGAACGAAGGGGGUAUGACAUUGAGGAAGAGUCCGACUAAUCAGGUUCUUCGACUUUAUUUUCCACUGAGGGCAGUGUCUAGUCUAAGUGUGGGGUGUCGGCAGAAUCUGCAUGCUAUAUUUGUAUGUUUGCUUGUUUAUUUUGUUUUAUUUAUUUUGUUUUGAGUCCGAUUUUUUUUUGUGAUUUUUUUCGUGUGACGUUUUUUUUUUAGUUUUUAGUAGUUAAAAUUUUUCUAGCCUCGCAUGAAAUUAUUUUAAUAGGCAGCAUGAGAUUAUAACAAUAGUAUGUAUUACAAUUGUGACUAUUGAGACAUUUAGGCUCUAGUUGUGACUCAUUAUGUGAUAGUGUGUGAUUCAAUUCCUUCACUUGUUGGGUUGAGAGUCUAUAUUGCUACCAAUCAAGUCGACCAUGUGCCUUGUGUGUGUGAGAUAAUAGUAUAUUCUAUGUAUGUGGCUGAUGCUAGAACUUGCCUGGUAUGUAUGCAAAGCGAAAAUAAGGAGUGUAAGUUUAGGAUAUGAUUUAGGCAUUUCUUUGGCAACCUAUAUUUGUUUACCUUCAGUUUUACCUACCCAUGGACAUCAUCCUAGUUAAACCCUUUUGAGCCUUUAGCCUAUUUCUUUGACAACCUUGUAUGUAAGCCUAAUUCAUUUUUUUUUCAAGACCGUAAUUUGAUCCAAAUUCCUAAGUGCUUUAAAGUGAAAAAGUCAUGUGACAACAUAAGAGGAAAUUGGUUGAGUAUGAUGCUUUAAAUUGUAAUGGUGCUUGAAUAUGUUAUGAAAAAGAAAGUGCUAUCAUAAGAGGUAUGUUGUGAGAAGAAAAAGGAAAAGAAAGCUGAAAAGUGAGUUGUGCUUUAAAAUUGAAAAACAAAAGAGGAGAACAAGGGUGCUACAAAAAAGUGUCAAUAAUACAAUGUGAUGUAUUAAAGUGCUUAGGAACUUAGUCACUAUUUCUGGCCAAAAUAGUUGAUCCUACCCGUCCCUUAGCCUACAUUACAACCAUCAAAAGACCUACUUGAUCCUAACCUUAACAUUCCGACAUUUAGUGGAGUACUACAUUAAGGGCAAGCCUAUGGUCAUUAGCUGCUACAUAUGAAUUCUUUGUGAGAGUGAGCGCAAGGAUACUUUGCUGCCCAUGUUUGAAAAAUAUGCUAUACUUGUGAGUGAUUAUGGGUACUAUAUUGUGAGACACACAUGGUUGAUGAGUUUUGGAUAGUUGUAUAUGAUUCUAUGUACCUUAAACGUUUGCAUGCGAGUUGAUCACCAUCACGAGUCUAUGCUUGAGGUUAAAUUGUUUCUACUUAUAAUCGGAAAGCUACUCUUCGUUGAUAAUUGUUGUGCUUGUCUUGAAGAAUGUUUUGUGUUGUUUCUGUAAAAACCUUAAGUCAAUGCUUAGAAGGACAUGAUAUGUUGUUCGAGGACGAACAAAGCUCUAAGUGUGGGGUGUUGAUGAUAGGCGAAAUUACGCGCCUAUAUCAAUAUAUUUUGCCCAUAUUUUAGCCUAGUUUCGAGAACUAAUUAUCUAUUUCGUACACUUUUAGUCCUUUUUCCUGUAAAUGAGCUAACAAAUGUGAUUAGGAAAGUUUCAGGUAUAAAUGAUGCAAAAUACAGCAAUUUAUGGCUUACUUGACGCAAAAGAAAGCUCACAAACGAGAUGGAAAGGAGCUGGACGCAUAAAGGACUAAAUCUGCUGCAUGGAAAAUCUGUCCCGGGCUAAAACAGCAUUUCUGAAGACUUUGGGACUUACAGACACAAAGCUGGAUUUUUGCCAUAAUACAUUAACCUAGUGCAAUUAGGUUAUGUGUUUCAUCAUUCUAUUUGGAUUAUAAUUUUGUAACCUUACCCUAGUACAAUUGGGUCAAGGAUUUCAUUAGUAUAUUAGGAUUUGGUUAUUUAUUUUAUUAGUUUAGUAGGAGUAGGAUAGGAGUAUUAUAAAUACCCUAUCAUGUUAGAGAUUUUCAAGAAGGGAGACAUUCUGACAAUUCAUUCAUCUCCUUACAAUUAAGACAUCUUCCUACAACCCAUUCUCAAUUCUUCAUUCUUCUACUCUUAAAUUCCACAACAAGAGAAUUGUUACUUGCUACGGAAUCACUAAAACCACACGCCAAACACCUACUAUUCACGCCAUCCACCAUGCAAAACGUGAUAUCCUUCGCAUUCAUGGGUAACUAAAUCUCUUAGUUGGGGUUAUGGAAGCCGAAUGAGUUACUAUCUAUAGCUAUGAGUUUGUGAGUUCAAGACAAGUAUAUUGCUUAUAUCAUUAUUCUCUUCAUCUUAAAUCUACAUUCUUUGCGGUUCAAACACAAGAACACGCCAUUCUAACAUCUAACCUGUUCGAGAGAAAGGUUAUUUGUCUAGAAAAGAAGACGCAUAGACCAACGCCAGUCUAACAUCUGACUUGUUCGAGAGAAAAGUUAUUUGUCUGGAAAAGAGAUAAUGUCAAGGUAGUAGGACACCCUUUCCUAUUAAAAAGCUAGUGCCGUACCUGGACUAACUUCUUGGAGAAUUCGUACCGUUAGUCACGCUUUAAGCUCGAGAGAGUUAAAGUGAAAUAGUCCUUGUUUAGGUCGAGAGACGCUUGGAUUUACCAUCGACUACAAUUCUCUAUAAGCAAUUACAUGUCAAGACUCUACACACUCAUAGCCAAUAGAGACGUAUACCUCAGAAGGUGGACAUAACCCCAACGCCUCAAUUCUCAUUGUUUACAACACACGUGACAAUCUCUCUUUAUUUUGCUAUUUUCAGUUCUUACAUUCUUGUUUUGGUUACAUACUACAAUCCCCCCUUUCCUACGAGACUUGCACUAAAAGUCUAGUAAUUUUUCUUGCUUGUUGGCCAAGCUAUUCUCUGUGGGAUCGAUACCCAACCCAGGUUGGGUUCUAUAUUUGCUAACGACCGCUUUACACUCCCACGAGAGCUGUAGAUUGAGCGUUAUCAAAAAUUGGCGCCGUUGCCGGGGAAUACGAGUGUCAAUCAAGUUCGUGAAAAUUACUAGACCCUUUGGUCAAAGAUUCUCGUACUUUUACGUUUAGUUUUUGUUUUUGUUUAUUGCAGGUUUUUCUUUUAGUGCAUGCCCCAUACUAGAAGUUCUGGUCAACCGUUAUUACCAAUCAAUCCGGAACCACAACGAAUCAGAAGAAUGGAAGCACAAGCGGAAAUCGACAGGAUGGCUGCUCAACAUGAGCAAGCAAGAUUAGCUGCUCUUGCCGCUGCUCAAGUCCAACAACAAAACAUUGAUAAUCCUGGACGAGCAACAAAUCCUGACGAUGAAGAUUUAGGAGAUGACGAGUUGAUCAACCCAAGGCAUGGCGCUGAAAUGGCAACACCUACCAACAGACGAGGUCGACAAGCUCGGUACAGAUAUGAUCGCCAACCUUUGCAACCAGCUUUCGACGAUGAUGAUGAUGAUCUUGAUGGUGCCGGAGCCACUGGAGCUAUAAUUCCACCACCAUUAGCGCCCGGAGCCAAGUUCAACAUCACUAGCACCAUGAUUCAGUUAUUGCAACUCAAGGGAUUAUUUGGUGGACUAGCAGGCGAUGAUCCGAAUAUGCAUCUCAUCAACUUUAUUUCUACAUGCAAGUCUUUUGACAAUCCUGGAGUUGGUCAGAAUGCUAUUCGAUUACGUCUAUUUCCAUUGUCUCUGUCUGGGGAGGCAACAUUAUGGUUGAAUGGGCUGACUCCUGAUUCUAUUACAAAUUGGAGGCAAUUGAGAGACGCUUUCCUAGAAAGAUUCUUUCCGCCAUCCAAGAGGGCUCAAUUGAGAGAUGAAAUCAGCAACUUUCGUCAGCUUCCCUCUGAAGCUCUUCACGAAACAUGGGAGAGGUUCAAGACAAAGCUAGCGAGAUGCCCAAACCAUCACAUGACUAAUGUUCACCUCAUGGAGAUCUUAUAUAGAGCCUUGAAUUCAGUAACUAAACCAGUGGUGGACAACGCAGCUGGAGGUUCUUUUAUGGACCUCACCUUUGGUCAAGCAAGCAACAUGCUAGAUCGUAUGACGAAACAAAGUAGAGCUUGGCAUACCAGGGAUUCUGAGGUAGCAAGCCCCACUUUAUCUAUUGGCAUGUCUGCAGAUCAAAGAAGGAGAGAAGAAGAACGUGAUCAAGAUAUGGCGCACAUGAAAACCCAAAUGGAUCUUCUUACAAAGCAUCUAUUAGGGAAGACUGAAAAAGUGAAAUCUAUUGCGUCAAAAGGAAGAGACGAAUCUGAUUCAGAAGAGGAGGCCAACUACUUGAACAAUCAGGGGGGUUUCCGUGGGAAUGCCCAAGGAAACCAAGGUCGGAACUAUUAUGACAAAUCUGGAGGUAAAGACCAAGGUAGUUGGAAGAAAAAUAAUGAAAACAGUGGUUUGUACGUUCCCCCUGGUAGACGUGAUACCACCACAUCUAAUUCUAUGGAAGACAUGAUGGCUAAGUUAUUGAAAGGAGUGGAAGCGACGAAUGCGGGAGUUAAGGAGGUGAUUGACGAUUUGGCCUCCAUGAAGCAAUUAGUUGAUUCUCAUUCCACUUCUAUCAAGCAACUAGAGCAGCAAUUCAGUCAACUUUCAGCAACACUCAACCAAAGAAAAGCCGGCACCUUGCCUAGCGAUACGGUGCAAAAUCCAAGGACUGAUGGGUCAUGCAUGGCCAUCACUACGAGGAGUGGUAAGGUGCUGGAAACUUCAGCAGAAGGCAAGCAAAUAGUUGACAGAACAGCAGACACAACCGCCACACCUAGUGACGCCACUAGGGAAGACGCCGCAAUAUCCACUUCCAACGUCAAGGACGUGUUGCCUAGUGACGUGCAGCCUGAAAAAAGUAAUAAACGGAAGCAAGAGGAGAAGAAAGCCAUGGAAAGAACACUUCCAUACCCACCACCACCUUUUCCACAAAGACUGAAGAAGGCGGCCGAUGACACUAAGUUCAGCAAGUUCAUGACCAUCUUGAAGCAGCUGACUAUUAAUGUCCCAUUGGUAGAGGCACUUGAACAAAUGCCUGGGUAUGCGAAGUUUAUGAAAGAUCUUUUGACUAAGAAGAGGGCAGCAAGCUAUGAGCUGAAAGAAGAUGUGCAUCAUUGUAGUGCAAUAGCUACCCGAUCCAUAGUUCAGAAGAAGGCCGACCCCGGAGCUUUCACUAUUCCUUGCACCGUCGGAUCUUUGGACUUUGCUAAAGCAUUAUGUGACUUAGGAGCCAGCAUCAACUUGAUGCCAUUAUCAAUCUACAAGAAGUUGGGGUUGGGAGAUCCUACACCAACUAAUAUGAAGCUUGUUAUGGCGGAUAGGUCGGUAAAACGACCGGUUGGUAUUCUAUGCGAUGUCUUGGUGAAGGUAUCUUCAUUCAUAUUUCCAGCAGACUUUGUCAUCUUGGAUUGCGAAGCAGAUUCAGAGGUUCCCAUAAUCUUGGGACGCCCUUUCCUUGCUACGGGAAGUGUGCUCAUAGAUUUGAGAGCUAAUGAACUUUCAUUCCGAAUAAAUGAUGAAGUGGUGCGCUUUGAUGUUUGCAAAUCAAUGAAGCAACCCAAAGAUCUAAGUGUAUUUUCUGUGACUGAUGUUGUCGUUGAUGACGAGGAUGAGUUACUUGCUGAAGAACAAAUUCUUGAUGAUCCUUUGGAGGUUUUGCUCAUGGAAGAAGAUGAUGAUGAUGCUGAAAUUUCUGAAGAUGAUAUUUGUGCUCUAUCGGGAUUAGGAGCAUAUCGCUAUCCUCCUAAGAAGCUGGAUCUUGAUCUCAAGAAUCGACCCACACCACCAGCUAAGCCAUCUAUUGAAGAACCACCCACAUUAGAAUUAAAGGAGCUGCCAAGCCAUUUGAAGUAUGCAUUCUUAGGAAGCGGAAACACUCUUCCAGUCAUAGUGGCAGCCGAUUUAGGUGAGCAACAAGUUGCAGCUCUUAUUGCAAUUUUACGCAAGUAUAUUAGAGCUAUUGGAUGGACCAUUGCGGAUAUCCUUGGUAUUCCACCUGGAAUUUGCACUCAUAAAAUUCAGCUCCAAGAAAAGUGCACACCCACCAUCGAACACCAAAGACGUCUAAACCCACCAAUGCAAGAGGUGGUGAAGAAGGAGAUUAUCAAGUGGUUAGACGCAGGAGUUGUGUAUCCUAUUUCUGAUAGUACAUGGGUAAGCCCAGUACAAUGUGUUCCCAAGAAAGGAGGUAUGACGGUGGUUGCGAAUGCAAAGAAUGAGCUUAUUCCACUCAGGCCCGUCACUGGAUGGAGAGUAUGCAUGGACUACCGCAAGCUGAAUUCUUGGACUCUCAAGGAUCACUUCCCCAUGCCAUUUAUGGACCAAAUGCUAGAUCGAUUAGCGGGAAAAGGAUGGUUUUGCUUUCUUGAUGGUUAUUCAGGUUAUAAUCAGAUUUUUAUUGCACCAGAAGACCAAGAGAAGACAACGUUUACAUGCCCAUAUGGUACGUUUGCCUUCAAACGUAUGCCAUUCGGGUUAUGUAAUGCACCAGCCACCUUUCAGCGAUGUAUGAUGUCUAUUUUCUCUGAUAUGGUAGAAGACACUUUGGAGGUAUUUAUGGACGACUUUUCAGUUGUUGGGGAGUCUUUCGAAGCAUGUUUGGUGAAUUUAAGCAUGGCAUUACAAAGAUGUGUAGAGUUCAACCUUGUGCUGAAUUGGGAGAAGUGCCACUUCAUGGUAAAAGAAGGAAUUGUUCUUGGGCACAAGAUCUCCGAAAAAGGAAUAGAGGUUGAUCGCGCCAAAAUAGAGGUAAUUGAGAAGCUACCACCUCCAAUUUCGGUGAAGGGAGUUCGUAGUUUUCUUGGCCAUGCUGGGUUUUAUCGUAGAUUCAUCAAAGACUUCUCCAAAAUUUCUAGUCCAUUAUGCAAGCUAUUGGAGAAAGAUGCGAAGUUUGACUUUAAUGAUGAUUGCUUAAAGGCAUUUGAAUGCCUUAAAGAAAAACUCGUUGAAGCCCCUAUCAUGGUAACACCAGAUUGGACGCUCCCGUUCGAAGUCAUGUGUGAUGCUAGUGGUGUAGCCGUUGGUGCUGUUCUUGGACAGAGAAAGGAGAAAUUAUUUCAUCCUAUCUACUAUGCGAGUAAGGUCCUCAAUGAAGCCCAAAGGAACUACACCGUCACUGAACAAGAGCUAUUAGCGGUUGUGUAUGCGUUUGAGAAGUUCCGCGCCUACCUAUUAGGUACUAAAGUGAUCGUUCAUACAGACCAUGCAGCUCUUAGGUAUCUAAUGACAAAGAAGGAUGCAAAACCAAGGCUGAUUCGAUGGGUGUUGCUGCUGCAAGAGUUUGAUUUCGAAGUCAAAGAUAGAAGAGGUUGCGAGAACCAAGUGGCUGAUCACCUAUCUAGACUUGAGAAUGAGUAUGUGGCGCAAUCAGAAAAUCAGAUUGGCGAUGCAUUCCCUGACGAGGAGAUAUUAGCGACAACAAUAGAAGACUUACCAUGGUAUGCCGACUUUGCGAAUUUCGUGGUGAGUAAUGUGUUACCUACAAAUUUAUCUUACCACCAGAGGAGGAAGUUUAUGCAUGACGUUCAGCACUAUUAUUGGGAUGAGCCUUAUUUGUUUCGAAGAUGUGCGGAUGGUAUCAUUCGACGAUGUAUAUCCCAUGACGAAGUGCCCACUAUAUUAGAAGCAUGCCACACUUCGCAAGUUGGAGGACAUCAUGCGGGUAAUCGAACAGCAAGAAAAGUCUUGCAAAGUGGUUAUUAUUGGCCUACAAUAUUCAGAGAUGCACACGACUAUGUGAGAAGGUGUGACCAAUGCCAACGUCAAGGUGUUAUUUCAAAACACCAUGAAAUGCCCAUGUCCACAAUCCUGGAGGUAGAACUCUUUGAUGUAUGGGGUAUUGAUUUCAUGGGACCAUUCGUAAAUUCGUUUGGAAUGAAGUACAUCUUGGUUGCUGUGGAUUAUGUGUCGAAAUGGGUUGAAGCUGUAGCAUUGGCCGAUAAUGAAGGAAAGCGUGUUGUAGCGUUUUUAAAGAAGAAUAUCUUCUCUCGCUUUGGGGUACCUCGUACUAUCAUAAGUGAUGGAGGAUCUCACUUCUGCAACAAGCUAUUCAAAUCUGUAUUGGCCAAGUAUGGAGUCAAGCAACACAAGGUAGCUACGCCUUAUCAUCCCCAAACUAGUGGACAAGUAGAGGUUUCCAAUCGGGAGAUCAAGCAAAUCCUUGCCAAGACGGUCAAUGCGAAUCGGAAGGAUUGGUCUCGGAAGCUAGAUGAUGCACUAUGGGCGUAUAGGACUGCAUUCAAGACACCCAUUGGCAUGUCACCUUAUCAGCUAGUUUAUGGGAAGGCUUGUCAUCUACCCAUCGAGCUUGAAUACAAGGCAUUAUGGGCAUUGAAGCACUUGAAUCUGAAUUGGGAUGAUGUGAAGAACCUGAGGUUGGAGCAGCUGAACGAGCUAGAUGAAUUCCGUCUCCAUGCUUAUGAAAGAUCAGAUUUAUACAAGGAGCGGAUGAAGAAGUAUCACGAUCAGCGGAUUGUUCGACGACACUUCCAAAAAGGUGACAUGGUGCUACUCUUUAACUCCAGAUUCAAGCUCUUCCCAGGUAAGUUAAAAUCAAAGUGGUCUGGUCCAUUUAAAGUCACCCACGUCUACUCGUUUGGAGUAGUCGAAUUGGAAAAUAAUGAGGGUGUUAUCUUCAAGGUGAAUGGCCAACGUGUUAAGCCAUAUAUCGGUCCUCUUGACUCGAUAAAUGACAUGGCCAUCACUUAUCUCGACGAAGUCUAAGUACUCGAGAUUACUACGUCGAGCCACGACAAUAAAUAAGGCGCUAGAUGGGAGGCAACCCUUCGUUUUAUUGUUUUAUCGUUUUGUCGUUUUAGUAUUUUUUCUUUUUGAUAAAUGAAAAUCCAAAAAUAAGAGUCGUGCCACGACCAAAACUAAGGCGCUUGGUGGGAGGCAACCCAUCGUACUAAUCGUUUUCAUUUGUUUGAGCAAAUAUAGGUGUAAGAAGUAUGCAACGAGGAGAUUGAUUUCAAUUGACGAUUUGGUCGCGUUGUAUGGUAAAGGCGGUACAAUGGCACCGAAAGCAAGGCAAGGCAAGGAGAAGGCUACCACAACCCGCAAGGACAAAAAGAGAAGCCGAAAAGACCAAGGCGAAUCAUCUUCCGCACACCUACCACGCAGAAUGUUCGGAAUCAAAUGGGUUCUUGAGGAAGAAGCCAAGGCAUGGUACAGCAGCAACAAAGAAAAGAAAUAUGUGCACGUCGACUUAAUCAAUAAGGAGACCUUAGCAAAGAAGGAGCCGCAAAUGUUGGCUAAGAUUAUGGCUUUGAAGCUGGAUUUCAUCUUCCGUGACAUGGGAGAGUGCAAUCUUGACUUGACAAGAGAGUUUUAUGCCAACUGGUCGCCAAACACAACAGGCAACGAAGUCAAAAUUCGGGGCCAAGUGUUACAGCUUACAGCGGAUUGGAUCAACUCGUUUCUAGGCCUACCUUCGGUCGACACUGCACCAUACAAAGAGCUGUACAGCAGACCUCCUUACAGAGCUAUAAGACACACGCUUUGUGGAAGCAGAUCGAUGGCGAGAUGGGGCAGACAUAAGGAAACAGGCCGUCACAACACAUUCCCCUAUGCUCCACUAAAUAGGGAAGCAAGAAUCUGGAUGCGCAUUGUCAACUCAUGCCUCAUUCCUGGGACGCAAUACACAAAGAUAUCGAGAGAUAGAGUGUGCCUGGUUUAUUCAUUAAUGACGAAUGUCCCUAUCAACUUUGGGGCAAUCAUUCGAUCCACCAUGAGGAAAGCCAGACUGAUGUGAAUGUGAAUGGUCCUAUUUCACAUUCGGCAAUUUGUUGACAGCAAUGUUGCGGAAGGAGGAUAUAGAGGAGGAACCAGCUGACCACAAACUCCCACAUACCCCAAAGAAGGUUGACCUCACCAAGGUCAAAGAUGCUGAAACAACGCAUGGAGUCAACCUUACCACUGCGGAGAGACAUGCUCGUGACGAGAGUUUCUUCCGUCAUCUCUAUGGCAUGACGAGAUUCACUAUGAUGAGUGGUGGACGUAUUCCAACUGCUGAAGAGCUCCAACAGCUGGACCACGACUACCCAAUGAACAGACAUGCCCGGGAGAUGUGUGGAGUGGGAGUAUAUUUCGAGGAACCUCUUGAUGAUGACGUGCCAACUGAUGAUGAUAGACGCUUGCCUGAUUCUGAUGCUGAGGAGAACUCUGACGAUGACUCUUACGAUGACUCGAACGAAGGGGGUAUGACAUUGAGGAAGAGUCCGACUAAUCAGGUUCUUCGACUUUAUUUUCCACUGAGGGCAGUGUCUAGUCUAAGUGUGGGGUGUCGGCAGAAUCUGCAUGCUAUAUUUGUAUGUUUGCUUGUUUAUUUUGUUUUAUUUAUUUUGUUUUGAGUCCGAUUUUUUUUUGUGAUUUUUUUCGUGUGACGUUUUUUUUUUAGUUUUUAGUAGUUAAAAUUUUUCUAGCCUCGCAUGAAAUUAUUUUAAUAGGCAGCAUGAGAUUAUAACAAUAGUAUGUAUUACAAUUGUGACUAUUGAGACAUUUAGGCUCUAGUUGUGACUCAUUAUGUGAUAGUGUGUGAUUCAAUUCCUUCACUUGUUGGGUUGAGAGUCUAUAUUGCUACCAAUCAAGUCGACCAUGUGCCUUGUGUGUGUGAGAUAAUAGUAUAUUCUAUGUAUGUGGCUGAUGCUAGAACUUGCCUGGUAUGUAUGCAAAGCGAAAAUAAGGAGUGUAAGUUUAGGAUAUGAUUUAGGCAUUUCUUUGGCAACCUAUAUUUGUUUACCUUCAGUUUUACCUACCCAUGGACAUCAUCCUAGUUAAACCCUUUUGAGCCUUUAGCCUAUUUCUUUGACAACCUUGUAUGUAAGCCUAAUUCAUUUUUUUUUCAAGACCGUAAUUUGAUCCAAAUUCCUAAGUGCUUUAAAGUGAAAAAGUCAUGUGACAACAUAAGAGGAAAUUGGUUGAGUAUGAUGCUUUAAAUUGUAAUGGUGCUUGAAUAUGUUAUGAAAAAGAAAGUGCUAUCAUAAGAGGUAUGUUGUGAGAAGAAAAAGGAAAAGAAAGCUGAAAAGUGAGUUGUGCUUUAAAAUUGAAAAACAAAAGAGGAGAACAAGGGUGCUACAAAAAAGUGUCAAUAAUACAAUGUGAUGUAUUAAAGUGCUUAGGAACUUAGUCACUAUUUCUGGCCAAAAUAGUUGAUCCUACCCGUCCCUUAGCCUACAUUACAACCAUCAAAAGACCUACUUGAUCCUAACCUUAACAUUCCGACAUUUAGUGGAGUACUACAUUAAGGGCAAGCCUAUGGUCAUUAGCUGCUACAUAUGAAUUCUUUGUGAGAGUGAGCGCAAGGAUACUUUGCUGCCCAUGUUUGAAAAAUAUGCUAUACUUGUGAGUGAUUAUGGGUACUAUAUUGUGAGACACACAUGGUUGAUGAGUUUUGGAUAGUUGUAUAUGAUUCUAUGUACCUUAAACGUUUGCAUGCGAGUUGAUCACCAUCACGAGUCUAUGCUUGAGGUUAAAUUGUUUCUACUUAUAAUCGGAAAGCUACUCUUCGUUGAUAAUUGUUGUGCUUGUCUUGAAGAAUGUUUUGUGUUGUUUCUGUAAAAACCUUAAGUCAAUGCUUAGAAGGACAUGAUAUGUUGUUCGAGGACGAACAAAGCUCUAAGUGUGGGGUGUUGAUGAUAGGCGAAAUUACGCGCCUAUAUCAAUAUAUUUUGCCCAUAUUUUAGCCUAGUUUCGAGAACUAAUUAUCUAUUUCGUACACUUUUAGUCCUUUUUCCUGUAAAUGAGCUAACAAAUGUGAUUAGGAAAGUUUCAGGUAUAAAUGAUGCAAAAUACAGCAAUUUAUGGCUUACUUGACGCAAAAGAAAGCUCACAAACGAGAUGGAAAGGAGCUGGACGCAUAAAGGACUAAAUCUGCUGCAUGGAAAAUCUGUCCCGGGCUAAAACAGCAUUUCUGAAGACUUUGGGACUUACAGACACAAAGCUGGAUUUUUGCCAUAAUACAUUAACCUAGUGCAAUUAGGUUAUGUGUUUCAUCAUUCUAUUUGGAUUAUAAUUUUGUAACCUUACCCUAGUACAAUUGGGUCAAGGAUUUCAUUAGUAUAUUAGGAUUUGGUUAUUUAUUUUAUUAGUUUAGUAGGAGUAGGAUAGGAGUAUUAUAAAUACCCUAUCAUGUUAGAGAUUUUCAAGAAGGGAGACAUUCUGACAAUUCAUUCAUCUCCUUACAAUUAAGACAUCUUCCUACAACCCAUUCUCAAUUCUUCAUUCUUCUACUCUUAAAUUCCACAACAAGAGAAUCGUUACUUGCUACGGAAUCACUAAAACCACACGCCAAACACCUACUAUUCACGCCAUCCACCAUGCAAAGCGUGAUAUCCUUCGCAUUCAUGGGUAACUAAAUCUCUUAGUUGGGGUUAUGGAAGCCGAAUGAGUUACUAUCUAUAGCUAUGAGUUUGUGAGUUCAAGACAAGUAUAUUGCUUAUAUCAUUAUUCUCUUCAUCUUAAAUCUACAUUCUUUGCGGUUCAAACACAAGAACACGCCAUUCUAACAUCUAACCUGUUCGAGAGAAAGGUUAUUUGUCUAGAAAAGAAGACGCAUAGACCAACGCCAGUCUAACAUCUGACUUGUUCGAGAGAAAAGUUAUUUGUCUGGAAAAGAGAUAAUGUCAAGGUAGUAGGACACCCUUUCCUAUUAAAAAGCUAGUGCCGUACCUGGACUAACUUCUUGGAGAAUUCGUACCGUUAGUCACGCUUUAAGCUCGAGAGAGUUAAAGUGAAAUAGUCCUUGUUUAGGUCGAGAGACGCUUGGAUUUACCAUUGACUACAAUUCUCUAUAAGCAAUUACAUGUCAAGACUCUACACACUCAUAGCCAAUAGAGACGUAUACCUCAGAAGGUGGACAUAACCCCAACGCCUCAAUUCUCAUUGUUUACAACACACGUGACAAUCUCUCUUUAUUUUGCUAUUUUCAGUUCUUACAUUCUUGUUUUGGUUACAUACUACAAUCCCCCCUUUCCUACGAGACUUGCACUAAAAGUCUAGUAAUUUCUCUUGCUUGUUGGCCAAGCUAUUCUCUGUGGGAUCGAUACCCAACCCAGGUUGGGUUCUAUAUUUGCUAACGACCGCUUUACACUCCCACGAGAGCUGUAGAUUGAGCGUUAUCAUGCGCUUGACUUUAAGGGAAGUUGGGAUGAUCACUUACCGUUGAUAGAGUUUGCUUACAAUAAUAGUUUCCACUCUAGUAUUAGCAUGGCUCCAUUUGAAACCUUAUAUGGGAGGAAGUGUAGAUCACCCAUAGGUUGGUUCGAGGUGGGUGAAGCGGCUAUGAGUGGUACUGAUUCGGUAUUUAAGGCUAUGAAAAAAAUUAAGUUGAUUAGGGAAAGGUUGAAAACUACGCAGAGUUGUCAGAAGUCAUAUGCGGAUGUUAGUAGGAGAGACCUUGAGUUUGAAGUUGGUGACCUGGUGUAUCUGAAAAUUUCACCCAUGAGUGGGGUGAAGAGAUUCGGAAAGAAGGGGAAGCUUAGUCCCUGUUAUGUUGGUCCUUACAAAAUUCUUAGCCGUGUUGGUAAGGUAGCUUAUGAGGUCGAGUUACCUUCCGAGUUGUCCUCUAUUCAUCCAAUAUUCCAUGUCUCCAUGCUUAGAAAGCAUAUUAGCGAUGCAGUGGUAGUGGAUUCCUCUGUGAGUGCUGACAUUCAAGAAAAUCUUUCUUUUGAUAAGAUUCCUGUUGAGAUUUUUGAUAUCAGUGUCCGAAGACUAAGGAACAAAGAAGUUCCCUUGGUCAAGGUGUUGUGGCGAAACCAAUCUGUUGAGGGUGAAACUUAGGAAGCUGAGGCGGAUAUACGAUCCAACUACCCGUACCUAUAUUCAGCAAACUUCAAUUAAGCCGAAGGUAUCGUUCUUUCCUAAAUCAUGCACUUUUGAUAAAAUUUAGAGCAGUUCAGCUGUCAUUUAUUAUGUGUUCAGCUGCAGUUUCUUGAAUUUAUGCAUUCUAUGUUGCAUUCGGAGUGAGAAACGAUGUGGUGAUGAGUCUAACGAAUGGUUUCAGCUGUAUGAUCUAUUGCCUAUCUAAUAUUGGCAUGUCUAGCGUCAUUCAAGGAUGAAUGUUUCCAAGGGGGGAUGAUGUAAUACCCUGGAAAAUUUUUCGUUGAAAUUUUGUGCGUAAACGUGUUGGGUUCUAUCUUCUAGAAUGAAUUAUAAAUUUUUCAUGCGGAAUGUCUUAGAUUAUGACCCACCAUUGCGUAUAGUAUCGAAUAAGCUUUCCAACGAUAAGUGGAUCAUCCAAAACUCACACCCGAGCGACAAGUUAUAAACAUUCCGAUCGAACCGUGAAUAGUAGUGAACAGUAAAACGUGCAGGAAAAAGUACUGAGGCCUGGCGUAUUUUUGCUCCAACUUUAAACAAUCAUAACUCCUUGUACUUAAUGAUCUGGGCGAUCUACUAUAUAUCAAUGGAAAGCUUUGCGAGUCCUCUUUCCAAUGAAAUUGGUUUCAUCUAAUUUUUCUAUCAGAGCAAAAACUUAUGGUCGAUCUACUUCAUCCUAUCAAAAGCAAAUUUUUGGGUCAAAUUUAUGAUUACUCUGUUAAUAUUUGAGGGUUAUUUAUGGAAACCCCGUUGAUUUGUGUUGAACUGAAUAAAAAUGGCUCAAAGAGUUAUCUUGGGGCUACUCGUAGCCUCAAGCACCGUGUGACGCUCCGGGUCCCAUUUUCCGGGGCGUUACAUAUUCUCAAUGAAAUUCAUUCUUUGAAGGUCCAUUUCUAAUCUUUACUCUUUUAACUUCCUUGUUUAUGAUAUUUGAUGCAUGGAUGUUGUGGUAGUGUGUUGUUUGUUGACUGAACAAUUUUGUUGAUAAUUGGUGCUAUUUUACCUGAAUAAGUAGUUGUAAGCAUGAAAUCGAUGAUGAUAUGGAUAGAUAGUUAUUCUUAUGUUUAAACUGUCAUGUAUAAAUUUAGGGAUGGGAAUCGGAGAUUAAUGAAGUAAUUUGAAUCGAUUGCUUGACAUGAAAUGGAUAGGGAUGUCGUUGAAUUUGGAUUAAUUUUGAUUCAUUAUGUUGAACAUAAUAGUAGCAUAAUAUAGACUGUCGUAAGGAUAGGGAAGCAAUAGGGGGUACGCAAAAGUUAGGAUUUGUGAUUGUUGAAUGAUGAAAUGUUUGUGGAAUGGUUUUGAUUUAUCAUUGGGAUCUAUUGUAUUCAUUUGGUCGGGGGAUGCCCUGAAGGAUUUGUAUUGAUUUAUCCGGGGAAUGCCCUGAAGUACCAUAUACUUGAAGACAACACACGAUCAAGGCCCCGAACACCGAGUAGAGAAAGUAAGGGAGCAUAGUUUAGAAUUAGCAUAGAAUAUAAUAGGCUUAUAUUUUCGCAUUUUUCUAUUUCGGGAUUGUAAUAAUCGGACUGGACACUAUAAUUUUGGUUUUGUUUUGUUUGUUUGUUUGUCUUGUGUGAUUUUGUGUGGUUUAUAUAUUCAUAAUGUCAAAUUAGCCGAUACGCUCCACCAAGCGUUUGUGGUCGAACUAUGGGAUCGAGGGGUUCCUAACACCUUUCCCUCAAUUAACAGAAUUUCUUAACCAGAAUCUUUGUUCGCAGAUCAGUUAUAUAGUCAAAAAUAUUUUGAAAAGGAUUUCCAAAGGUUACUUGUCACACCGGAUCAUGCCAAGUGGCGACUCUGAGUUUUAAAUAUAAAAAGUCCUUUUUGAAACAAAUCUCCAUUUUGUCACUUAAUAAUGAAAACCCUUCGAAACUUCAAAUUAAUCUUUUUGUUCAAAGUCCUCUCUUGUCGUCACUCCUCCUACUAAAGCAAGUACCAAACCCAGAACUACUAUUGCCAUUAUUGCAAACUCUAUAUACCACAUGCCAUGGUUUAUUUCAAAACACAUCCCCUGACCCAAAUUUAUUAGAAACAAGUUCCUCUUUAAUAUGAACAAAACCAUAGUGGUUCCAUCCUAGUAUGUGCACAAAUAAUCUAUUCCACUCCACCUCCACAUUCCUAGUGUUGGGAAAAUAAAUAUUCCCACCUAGGAUAAUAUCCACACAAAAUAUCAAUAACAAGAUAGUAACAACGACACCAAAUAUUAUAACGGGGUGAAUAAAAUACUCAAUGGAGGAAUACAAUAAUAGUGAUUACAACUUGACAGUGUCAAAAGACUACUACUCUUUAUAAACGAAACAACACACUAUUAUUUCUCAAAACUCACUACAAUAUUACUCCCACACUAUUAUCUCACAGACUAUAGAAUAUCUAGGGAUUACUCUCUUCUUUUCUAUGUUGAUGAUAUGUUGAUUGUAGCAAAGGAUAUAAGAGCGAUAAUAAAAGUUAAAACCCAGCUCAGUAAGGAGUUUGAUAUGAAUAAUCUAAGUGAAGCAAAGAAGAUUCUUGGCAUGGGAUUCUGAGGGAUGGAAAGAAUUGUAAGUUAUACUGGAGUCAGAAAGGAUAAAUUGAAAAAGUGUUUCACAGGUUAAAUAUGCAAAAUGCCAAACCUGUAAGUACUCCAUUGGAAGAUAACUUCAAACUCUCGGCCACUUUAUCUUCAAAAAUAGAUGAUGAGUGUGACUAUAUGUCUCGAGUUCCAUACUCUAGUGCUGUCGGGUCUCUUAUCUAUGCGAUGGUGUGUUCACAACCAGAUUUAUCUUAUGUCGUCAGUACAAUUAGUAGAUACAUGGAAAAUCCUAGCAAAGAACAUUGGAAAGCAGUUCAGUGGAUUUUCAGAUACUUGCAUGGAUUUUAAAAAAUCUAUAAUAUAUUAUCGUGAAAAAUGAGGCCCCUUAAAUUUGGGGGCCUAAGGCGACCGCCUAUUUUUUUCUAAGGUAGAGCCGUCCCUGAUUACUACUAUCUUUUGUGACAUUCAGAGUGCUAUCUUCCUUAUAAAAAUUAGAUAUUUCACUAGAUUACAAAGCACAUCAAUGGUCAGUAUCACUUUGUGCGUGAAAUUGUUGCUCAUGGUGAUAUUGUGGUGAAUAAGAUUAGUAUUCAUGAUAAUCCUGCUGAUAUGAUGACCAAGACACUACUAAGUGCCAAGUUUGAGCAUUUCUUGGACUUGGUUAGUGUUAAAUGUUAAGAUGUGCCCUUAGGGGCUUUUGUGGAAGAGUUGGAGAGUUAAUCUUGAAAUGGAUUUGAGUUCUAAAUUAGAAUUCGUGUCAAGUUGGAGAUUGUUAGAGUUGUGACCCGAAUUUUGUUGAUCCGGCCCAGAAAGUUUCAUGGUGCGAUCCAUGUUUGUGAUGUGAUUUACUGGGUUUUUUGGGUAUCUAGAAAGUAUUCAUUCUCCACAUUGUACUCCUCUCCUUUCAUUAUAGUGAAACAUCCUCUACCUCUGCCCGUGGUUUUUUCCACAAGGGUUUUCACAUAAAUCUGUGUGUUUUUAUUUUCUUUCUGCUUGUGGUUUGCUUUAUUUCUGCCUGAUUCCUAACACUGUCCAUUCGAAAUAGUGACUUUUCCGAACAACCACAACCAUCCAAAAAAUAAUACUUUUUCUCAAAAUAGUGUAUUAUUUCCUCGAAGGGUUGCAUCCCUUUCGAGGCAGCAUUUCUCAUUUCUGCAGUUGUAUCUGCACCGCAUGCAUGCACGUUAAUGGGGGAACAAAAAAAUGGUGUGUUUUUCCUUUGGAAUCUUAGAUCACUUGAUUUUCCAAAAAAAACUGGAAAGUGAUUCAUAUAUACUGUAGAACAAUUUCAUAGAAAGAGAGAGAAAGUUUAUGGGUUAUUUAUUUUAGCUAGAAAUGUUAAAUAUUGUUAUUUGAUGUCAAAUUGAAUCAUAAAUUGUUACAUUGUGUCAAUUUACCAUUAUUUUAUGUAAAAAUUAUUUUGUAUGUACUUUUUAAAUUAUUUAUUGUAAACUGUAGAUAUAUUUUUUUUAUAUUUGUUGAAUUAAGUUUUUAAUUGUAAGCCAUAGCAGUUUUUUAAAAAAUAUUAUAAAAAAAUUCUAUUAUAUAUAUAUAUAUAUAUACAUGAAUAAACAUAAAUAUAUAUAUAUAUAUAUAUAUAUAUAUAUAUAUUAUAUCUGUUAAAAUCUCUCUUAAAUAUUUGAAUUUACCUUUCUCCCUCAUCUAUUUUCUUAAAUAAAGGAUUGAUAAUAAAUUCUUAAUUUUCUCCUUACUGUUUUAUACUUUUUUUAACUCAAAUCCUCCACCUAACAAAGUAAAAUGAAAAAAAAAAUACGGUAAAAGGAUUAUAAGAAAUCCUAAAUUUCUCCUUCUUUCAUUUUCUUAAAUAUUUUUUUUAUAUUAGUUAAUCCUUUCAAAAAAUUUAAUAAUGUUGUCUUUUCAUAAAUUUCUCUCAUAUGUGUUUCUUAGUUCUUUCAUACUUUAUUUUCAUUGAUAUUAAUAAUUACUUUAAAUUGCUUUCAUUGCAUACACUUUGAUCAGAUUGUUGAAAUCCAUAUUUUAUUCUUAAUUUUUUCAUACACUAAUAUUUAUUUUUUCCUUAUUUUCUUGCAAUAUAAAUUUUAUCCAUGAUUCAAAUUUUAUACGUUAGUCAACGUGAAUUUCAUAUUUUCAUUCUUGAUUUUUUAAAUUCUUUUUGUAGGAAAUAACAAAUUCAAUGAAUAAUUUUUCUUACACAGUUGAUACAAAAUUGUUAUUUGAAGUUUUAUGAAAAUUGUCACACCCCUUUUUUAACUCCAAAAAGAUUCAUUUUAUGCUUUGAAGGGGUUUUUAUUAGUAAGUGACAAAAAUAAAGAUUUGUUCUAAAAAAGGAUUAUUUUUACAUUCAAAACUCAGAUUCGCCACUUGACAUAAUUCGGUGUGCCAAGUAACCGUUGGAAAAUCCUUUUCAAAAUGAUUUGACUCUUUAAAAUGAUCCGCGAAUAGAGAUUCCGGCUAAGAAAUUCUGUUGACCGAGGGGAAGGUGUUAGGCACCCCUCGAUCCCGUGGUUGUCGCUUGGUGGAGCGUAUCAGCUAAUUCUGAUACUACGAAUGUAUAAACCACAUAACACGCAACAAUCAAGCAAACAAACACAAACCAAAUCAAAAUCCAAGAUAUAAUGUUCAGUCCAACUAUAUAGUCCAAAGUAAAAAAUGCAAAAAAUAUAAAUCCUAUUCUAACCUAUACUAAAGUAUGCUCCGACGUUUUACCCGCUGCCUUGGGACUUCAUCACGAACAUCCUCCGGAUACAAAAAUACCUCGGGGCAUUCACCCAAUAAAAUAAUACAAGUACUUUGGGGCAUCCCCGGCCAAAUGAUACAAGUGAUCCCAAAGCAAUAUAGUAAAAAACCAUUCAAUCAUACCACUCAAGUAUUCCAUCAAUCCACAAUCGCUAAAUUCGCCUACCCGAUCUAUGUUUACAUAUUUGAGCUCGAUCACAUUCAUGUUUAUCCCAAUUGAACAAAACAAAAACCGACCAAAAUUUAACUACGCAACUUUUAUCAACUUUUGAUUCCACCCCAAAUCCAUUUUUAACCACAUGAUUUGCGCAUUCUUCAAUUAUUCAAUCACAUCUCAAAAUUCGAAACCAACAUCAAAUACAAACAACUAACGAAGAUUCGAACUAAACACACAACACAUAAAUCACCCACACCCACAACAUCAAUAAAAAAUCAAGAUAAAGUAAAGAUCAGGAGAAGAAAUGGACCUCAAUGAAACUUGUCCUUGUUGAUAAUAAAGAAAUUCGAAAUCAAAAUUCCCAAACCGGAACCUCAACAUGAAUCUCCAAAUCAAAUUCCGACUUCGAGGUUGACAGCGAUGGACCGGUUGAGACAAACAGAGUUCCAAUCCACGAAUAUUGACCACUUAAUCGUGAAGAACCCAAAAUCCAAUAUCCAAAAUGAACUGCGAGAAUAGACUAACCCAAAACCCAGUCAACACGAUAGAAGAUAAAUAUUCGUGUAGCCUGAGCUCUGGUGAGCUCAAGCGGUGGAAAAAAAAAAUGAUGAGUCAAGAUAGAUUCUGGCGAGUCCCAACGUUUUCUGGCCGGGUUUACCCGUUUACGAUCACUUCCCCCUUUCUGCUAUCUCCCUCGCAUCUCUUUUCUCUACCUAACACUCUCUCGAUUUGGCUUUUCUGAUCUUUCUCCCUCUCUGUUCCAAUCUCUCCCUAAAAAUGGAAAAUUCGGCCCUUUCCUUUCUCUGGUUUGUGCAUGUAUGUAUGUUACUGUGUGUGUGCAUCUACCCCCUCUUAAGAAACCAUGGAAAAAUUGAGGUGAGGGUCAUGCUUUUUGUGGUAAGGUUGAGUGGUGUUUUACGUACCAAUUCCAAUAAAUGGUGUGUUCCUUCAGAUGAUGAAGAAGAGGCAACCCCCCAAAAAAAAUAAAAAAAAAUCCCCCUUGUGUUCUCGUUAAUGAAGAAGUAUGUGUACAAGAGAAUGGCUAUGAUGAUG